UACGUAGGGUGCAAGCGUUAAUCGGAAUUACUGGGCGUAAAGGGCGCGUAGGCGGCCUUCUAAGUCGGACGUGAAAGCCCCAGGCUUAACCUAGGGAACGUGCGUCCGAUACUGGGAGGCUUGGAUUCGGGAGAGGGAGUGUGGAAUUCCAGGUGUAGCGGUGAAAUGCGUAGAUAUCUGGAGGAACACCGGUGGCGAAGGCGGCAUCCUGGACCGAGAUCGACGCUGAGGCGCGAAAGCUAGGGGAGCAAACGGGAUUAGAUACCCUUGUAGU
rnacentral:rRNA from 1 species